CUUGACUGUAGCCUGGAAUUGGGUUCGGGCUUUUCUUGCGCAGACUAGGUGGGAGGCUAUGAAGAUUUCCUUCCGGGGAAGUUGGAGCCAUCAGUGAGAGACCACUCUGGAGAGGCUAGAAUCCUAAUGGUGAUCCUUGAAUCAGGACACUUGACAGUUUCAGGUGGGCAGUUUUUCUGGGGCGGAAGCCUCAUAAAGGGUAACUGAGGCGCGCAAAGGUCCCCUCAGUCUGGACGGAAGUCAGACAACGAGUGUAGAGGCAAAAGGGGGCUUGACUGCAAGACCUACAAGUCGAGCAGGAGCGAAAGCUGGCCUUAGUGAUCCGACGGUACCGUGUGGAAGGGCCGUCGCUCAACGAAUAAAAGUUA
rnacentral:rRNA from 1 species